UUUGGCAAUGGUAGAACUCACACUG
rnacentral:ncRNA from 10 species